UGUCGAUACCAGUACGUUCUUUCGUGGUCCAUAUUCUGCAAACAUUCCAUCAAAACUUUCGUUCCCACUUUCUUGAUGAGAUAUCUUGGAGUUUGGGUUCCUUGUGUGUCCACAAAGCCUAAGAAGGAAGGACAGUUGAGGCGAGAAAAGAGGCCAGGAAGCCUGCUGAGGGAUAAAUCUUGUAUUCAGGGCCUAGGAAUAAUGGCACAGGGGUCUGCUGCCAACUCCCCAGACUCACUGACUCCCAGGAAACAAAAGGCCACAGCACAGAGAAGCCUGGGCCCCAUGGCAGGCUCGAGGCAGGAGUGGCUCUUCUCUCAGGCUCCAGGUUGGUUGUCUGUGAUGUUGCUGUCCCUGCCCACGCUCACAAUCCCUUAGUCAUCUUCUAGAUGCUGGAGACUUUAGAGGUGCCAGAGUGAAAGCCAUCUCUGUUCUGCAGUGAGUGUGUGUGUGUGUGCAUGUGUGCAUGUGCUUGUGGGUGCUUGUGUGUGCAUGCAUGUGUAUGUGUGUGCGUGCAUGUGUGCGCAUGCGUGUGUGUGUGCAUGCACAUGUGUGUGUGCACAUGUGCGUGUGUAGAAAACAGCUGGCAAGGUAGGCCUGAGAUGGCCAUCCUUAGAAGGACCAGCUUGCAAGGCAGGCAUCUGGGCACUGGGACUUCAGGAGCGUUCCCACCACCUAGUAACUGGUAUCUAGGACUCUGGGUGACCUGGGUGUCCAUGGAGCCUGUGGAGGAAAGAGACAGAAACUGGAGAAAAAGCCCAGGAGGCAGACUGAUAUUACAGCCACGGGAGAAAGUCCAGAAACGGAAUCCAAGAAGCUUACCUGCUCCCCAGAAAAAAAGGGCCACACAGCAGAGAAGUCUGAAGCACAUGGUGGGCUCAGGGGAAAAGCAAUGGCACACGGCCUUUGCUUUAAGGCUUCCCCGUCCCCAUCAGAACCUCCUUGUGACGCGAUCGCUUGCCGUUGGCUUCACAGCCACUGUGUGUACGAGUCCAAAAUAUUUCAUAGGACGUGGGAGGGCAGGGAGAGCUGCUGAAAACCACUAGGAUUUUUAAAUUUUCUGCUUCUAAUAUCCUGCAAAUCACCAGGAUAUUCUUCCAACCAGCACCGAAAGUACCUCACCUGAGGUACCAAAAGUAUCCGACAGCUUCUUAGAUGGAGGAAGAUCUAUGCUUGCUCCUUAGGCAUUGGAGGUUAUUUUACAAGAAGACCCACAUCACCCCCUAGUGGUCAAAGGGGCAAAUUCGUCAGCCGACCUCUGAUCCCUCCCUGCCUUCACCUGCCAGGAGCUUUGGAGUCCACAUUAGAAGUUGCCAUCAGCGUGAGACCCUGUUCCGGGAACUGACGAUACCAAAACACAGUUGUGGCUUGAAUGCCCACCGAAUGGCACUCGAUCAUCACAGAGGUUCCACUCUUACAGACAGCUGUCCUUGGAUCCUGAGAGACGAGAACACCAAGCCCAGAACCUGCUGACACAGAGGUCAAAGAGGUGAAGGAGGCCUGUACCACAGGCGGAAAACUCACGGCACCCAGAGAUUCCUGCUGUUCUGUGAAAUCUUCCUGUUAGACCCCCUAGGACCAUAAUCCCCCACCUCCCCUGCCUGGUGACUUCUCACCUUUCCCUUCAUACCUCCAGAGAGCAAGAAUGUCCCCCCUCAUUUUGAUCUGCAUAAAAUAAUCCACAACCUCUGCCUACUGCUCCACUCAUGCCAUUACACACACACACACACACACACACACACACACACACCCAGACACACACGCACACUUGCCCCAACUACUCAGAUUGUAAGGCUCAUACUGGGCCCCAGGAGCAGCAGAAGCAUGAGCAUCUUCAGAUACUGGCCUCAUAUCACACCUCUCUCACUGUAUCUCAUUCUCCCUUUCUCCACCCCUAGAAGGAUGGACCACUGCUUACAUAUUCCUGAAGAUGCUCCAAUCUGCCCUCUCGUGGUGAUGUUUUUUUCCAGUGAUGCAGGAUCUAUCAAAGAGCUGAAAGGGGCCUCAGAUGUUCUAAUUCUACUCCUAACUUUAUAGAACAUGCGCUAAGACCCAGAUCAUUGAAUUGACUUAAAGAAGUUUCUUAGCUUUACUCAUGAAAAAAGCUGUAUGUUUGUGCAUUAAAAGGAAUUAUCGCCUAUUCUUUACUUCUGUAACAUAUCCUCAAAGUAAGUCAGACAACUGAUGAUUGUUAGUCACUAACAAUCGUGGCGAUAAACAAUCAUGAGUGAGCAUCAGAAAUUCUAGGCUAUAAGUUCAAUGUUUCUUCAUACUGAUGAUAAAGACAAUUUCUCAUCUUCUAAAUGAAGUAUUUAUUUCACGACUAUCUCAUGCUGGUCGCCGUCAUAUGGAUGGUCUUAAUACUAAACAUAGCUAUUUAUCGUAGUUUGCACAUCUCUGUGUAAAUCACUGUGAAGCCUACGAGGAUAAUUUGUUUACAGCUAUUUCCCCAUGAUACAGGUCAUAGGCUAAGUAUUGGCCAAUGGAAAUAGGUUGUAGGAGAUUUAGGGAAUUAUUUCUGCUUUGAACAUGCUGGAAUAUUUAUUUAAAUGGCUCGUGCUUAGAAAUGUAUAGCAAUUUCAAAGAAACUGAAGAUUUUUCUCCAAAACAUUAUACUUUUAUUCUUAUAACAACCUCCCAGUUUUGCUUCAUGAAUAUUUAGUUCUGUAUAUCUGGAGUGAGUAACUAAGGAAGGUGGGAUUAGGCUUGAUCCAACAAAUUAUGUUUGUAGCAUAGUGACAUAGAUUUUUAUCAUAGUGAAUAUAAUAUUGUGUACUAAAGAUUACUAUGUGAAAAAUACUGAUGUAUGUAUUAAAGGGCAUCUGACAUGCUCUUGUGGCUGUAUUUUUUUCAUGGUGGGGGCAGACCGCAUUAUGAUGAGGCCACUUUUCACCAUAACUGUACUUUUUCUGCAAAGAGUAGGUGAAUGUGCCUUGUAAUGUAUUACAUCUGCACAACAUUAUGAUGUAUAAGGGAUGAAGUGUCUGGAGGCUCCUGGAUCAGAAGAAACUCUUUCUACUCUUCUUGAGGACCAGCAGCCAUCAGGUAUAUAUCUAUGGUGUUUCAUACUCAUCAUCAACUGAACUGUGGAAUAAAUGCAUUUCCCAGAACUUUGUGUUAUAGCUCUUGAUUAGAGUUGACCUCAAGAAAAAUAUUUGCAAAUGAAGUAGCUGUCAUUAUACUCUGAAGUCAUCAUUGGUCUAAAAGCAGUGAGGAACAGGAUUAGCAGUACCAAUUUAUUACAUUCUGGUAGCUACUUCUCAAAGAUGGCACCCAGAAGAACCAUCCUUCCCAGCAUUCCCAUUCCUAUAAAGAUCUGGGCUGACUUGAAUGUGGGGGGAAGUGACACUGUAUGAUUUUCAUAUGUGGCUUUAUAGAUUCCACCUGGGUCUCUUGAAUGCUCACUCUUGGGGAAACCAGCCAGUAUGUAAUAGUUUUAACUACCCCGAGGCCACCGUGCGGUGACGAAACCUACCUAACCGCAUUGAAGGGCUCUGUGGAGAAAAGAGACAUGCUGGGUGGUCUACAGCUGCUCCAGCCGUCCCAGGUGAGGUAUCAGACAUGGGCAUCAGGAAGCCACCUGGGAUGUCCAGCCUGGCUGAGCCUUCAAGUAUCUCCAGCCCCAGUGACUGUCUGUCAUUACAUGAGAGCCCCCAAGUGGGCACUGCCUAGAAGAGCCCAUUCAACCCACAGAACCAUGAGAGAGACUAUAUAUGUGUUUUAAGUCAGUACAUUUUGGGGUGGUGGCAGUGGUUGUUUUUCUAAGCUUUUAAAGGGAGAUAUAUAAUCCAUAUAGUAGACUGCACAAAUCUUAAGUGUACAGCUUCUUGAAUCUCAGAAUGAAUGCACUCAGAUAACUACCAGCCAGAUCAAGAUAUAGGACAUUUUUGGAACCCCAGAAACCUCUCUCAUGCUUCCCUCUAAGAAAAUUAAAAAUGCCUCCACAUGCAGCCACUACCUUAACUUCAUACGCUAUGCACUCUUUGUUCGACGUUAGGUCGAUGAGAUUCAGCCAUGAUUUGGCAAAUAAUAUUUGAUUCUUUUGUUAUAUUUUAUUCUAGUGUAUAAAUGUCGCACUAUUUAUCUAUUGCAUUAUUGAUAGAUGUUGGGGUGUUUUUCCAUUUGAAGUCAUCAUGAAUAAAGCUGUUGUAAUGUUAUUUUUCUCCCAUAUCCUUUUCUAUUUCCUCAGAAUCCUGGAAUAUUCCCUGAGUGUGCAUACAAUUAGAAAAUUGGUUUUCUGGCUAGCCUAAUUUACUUUUGAUUGCUUCCAGUAUAUUUUUAAAUUCAGAAAUUAUGUUUACUGUUCCCAAGAAAUGCUACAGCUCUUUGAUUAUACUUUUAUAUAAAUUGCCCUUCCUCAUUAAUAGGCAUAAUAGCUCCUCAAAACUUGCUAAGGAAAGACCUAGUGAUAUUUUUACUUUUUGAUUUCCAUUUCAUGUAAUAACUCUUACAAUUUGGUCAUGGGAAUGGAGGAAAUAAUAAUAAUAAUAAUAGGAAUUAUUAUGAAACGUCACAGCUAAGCAGUUCUUUUUAGUAUCAAGAUCACUCUGAAAAGGUAAAUGGUUCAAUAGUUUUAGAGUGGAUGUUUUAAAAUCCUGUUAAGUCUUUGUUUUCUAAAUUUGUCAACUGACAGGAGGAAAUCUGUAUCCUUUCAAGUUGUAUCCAAGAUAAUAAAGAAAAGCGAGAUUGUC